rnacentral:lncRNA from 1 species
CCGAUAUGUGUAUGUUUUUAUGUUUGAUUGUAAUCAUCAAGGGAUUCUUAGGAUUUUCUGUUUCGGUGGUCUUGUUUAAUUGUUAAACAUUAGUUUUUCAAAUGUUGAAUGUGUUAUGAUCCAGAUGGUGUGCUCAAGGCCCAGGGGACCAAGGCUAAGGCUAAGGUCCAUCAUUCAUGAAGGCUUCAUGGAGGCUCUAGGGCUAGUUGGGCCCUAGGUUGAAGGGCUGUGGGCCUUUCGGGUUCUUGAGGUC